rnacentral:rRNA from 1 species
AACGGCCGCGGUAUCCUAACCGUGCAAAGGUAGCAUAAUCAUUUGCCCAUUAAUUGUGGGCUAGUAUGAAAGGGUUAACGAAAUAAAAACUGUCUCAAUUAAUCACCUAAAAACUAUUCUCUACUUGAAGAAAAGUAGAUUGCCCCGAAGGACAAGAAGACCCUAUAGAGCUUAAUUUUACUUAUAGGUCAAACACUAUAAAAAUAUUCGGUUGGGGCGACCCAGGGCUAACUAAUCACCCACAAAAAAAAAGAUAUAUAAAUCAAGUAAAUGACCCUCAUUGAUCAAAAGACCAAGCUACCUUAGGGAUAACAGGCUAAUCCCACUUAAGAGUCCUUAUCAACAGUGGGGUUUGGCACCUCGAUGUUGGCUUAGG